AGUGAACGCUGGCGGCAGGCCUAACACAUGCAAGUCGAACGGCAGCACAGAGGAGCUUGCUCCUUGGGUGGCGAGUGGCGGACGGGUGAGGAAUACAUCGGAAUCUGCCCAGUCGUGGGGGAUAACAUAGGGAAACUUAUGCUAAUACCGCAUACGACCUACGGGUGAAAGCGGGGGAUCGCAAGACCUCGCGCGAUUGGAUGAGCCGAUGUCCGAUUAGCUAGUUGGCGGGGUAAUGGCCCACCAAGGCGACGAUCGGUAGCUGGUCUGAGAGGAUGAUCAGCCACACUGGAACUGAGACACGGUCCAGACUCCUACGGGAGGCAGCAGUGGGGAAUAUUGGACAAUGGGCGCAAGCCUGAUCCAGCCAUGCCGCGUGGGUGAAGAAGGCCUUCGGGUUGUAAACUGCUUUAUCAGGGAUAAACCUACUGGAUUCACUCCGGAGCUGAAGGUACCUGAAGAAUAAGCACCGGCUAACUCCGUGCCAGCAG
rnacentral:rRNA from 1 species